rnacentral:rRNA from 1 species
GACGAACGCUGGCGGCGGUGCCUAACACAUGCAAGUCGAACGGAGAAAUUAUUUCGGUAAGUUUCUUAGGUGGACGGAACGGGUGAGUAACACGUAAACAACCUGCCUUUUAGAUGGGGACAACAUCUCGAAAGGGAUGCUAAUACCGAAUGUUUUAGCUUUAUCGCAUGAUAGAGCUAAUAAAGGUGGCCUCUAUUUAUAAGCUACCGCUAAAAGAGGGGUUUGCGUCUGAUUAGCUAGUUGGUAGGGUAACGGCCUACCAAGGCAAUGAUCAGUAGCCGGUCUGAGAGGAUGAACGGCCACACUGGGACUGAGACACGGCCCAG